rnacentral:hammerhead_ribozyme from 1 species
UUCUAGCUGACGAGUCCCAAACAGGACGAAGUGUACAUCCUAGAU